UCUUCUGAGAUCUGUUUGGUCAUCACCAUGAGAAGACUAUACCUCAGGUAGACACUAUUCUUUCUCCCAGGUAACCUGGAUCCCAAAAUGAGAACAGAAGAACCACUUCAUGUGACUUGAACCAGAUCUGAAAUCUGAAGUGAAGCCCAGAAGAGUGUAGCUGAAGACAAGUGAACCUACUUGACCAGCAAACGCACAUAUCAAAGGGCCCCCUGGCUACUAAGGAAGAUGAAUGAAGAAAGGGCCCAUACAUGGACACCUACUUCAUAGUAAAAUCUGAGGACAUGAAGUAUAAAGAGGACAUUCUGAACACUUCAAGAGACAGCACCCUUAGCUAGGCAUGCAGACAGGAUCUCACUGUCACCCAGGCUGGAGUACAGUGGCUCGAUCUUGGCUCACUGCAACCUCUGCUUCUCAGGCCCAAGCAAUUCUCCCACCUCAGCCUCUCAAGUAGCUAGGACCACAGGUGUAAGCCACCAUGCCCAGCUAAUUUUUUUUUGUAUUCUUUGUAUAGAUGGGGUUUCACCAUGUUGCCCAGGCUGGUCUCAAACUCCUGAGCUCAAAGUGACCCCCCCACUUCGACCUCCCAAAGUGCCCAGCUCCAUCUUAGGUUUUGCAGCAAUCACCCUGGGUACACAUAUGGAGAAUGGAAUGAAGAGGUAAGCACUGGAGGCAGAAAGACCAGUUAUGGAAUCAUUUGUUGUCUCUGUAAGAAAUGAUGAAGUCCAGAACGAAUUUCCAGAACUGGUAGUGGGUAGGAAAUAAGAAGACAAAUUUGACAGCAAUUGGGAGUUGAAAUCAAGAAUUGGUGAGACACUGAGGAUGACUAUAAAGUCUGGAAAUUAGGUGGAUGGUGAUGCUUUCUAUUCAAGAUCAGAACACAGGAGGUCAGUCAUUAAGGUAAGGAAUUCAUUUUGAUAUAUUGGGGUUGAAACACCAGUGGACUUCCAAAUAGAUUUGUCCUGUACCAGUGGGAAGUGUGAACCUGGAGCUCAAUAGAGAGCAGCAGAUGUUGGAAUUCUGCUUUUCCUAAGUGUGCAACUGCGUGAAGGAGAAAAGCACUUUUGGGCUCUCUUCAGUCAGGUUUCGGGGAAGCUGAAGUUUGCUCCCCUCCAUGAAUAUCUUAGUUCUGAAAAUUUACGUCUGCUGUGUCAAAUGAGGUCUGACUGCUAGACUCAAAGCCCAGGUGCUCUUUCUCAUUGGCCAAGGACGAUUCAGGGUCUGUUAUCUGUUUCAUAUCCUUCACCAAGGGGCAUAACAAUGUAUGCUCCUCAGUAGCCAUUCAUUCCCCAAAUUUGUUCUCUCUCCUUCCACUCUUCCUCCCUUACCUGCUCUAUUCUGACUCCUUCCCCAGCUCCUAAACUGAAACCUUCC